AUGGGUAUAAAAGGGGCACGUGGCAGCCUAGCGGGGGCCUUUUGCGAUGGUGGUGGCGGAGGGGAGGAGAGCGCUGAGUUCACUGGAGCAGCUCCUGGCCUGGGACGGUGGGUCAGGCAGCGAGGGAUCCCCCCGGCCGCUAGCAUCUGUGGACGUAUGAUGUCCCCUCCAAGCCAUCAGAGUGAUGUGACUAGCAAGAGAGAUUGCUUCCUGAGUUGCCUAGGUCAACACAGCCUUGUCCACAAUUCUGGGCUCUGGUGCUUGUUGAGGUGAGGGCAUGAUCUACUCUGCUCCACCCUUCCUCCUGCAAAGGUCAUUCACCGGCUGAUUUCAAUCAUGCGUGCAUCUAGCUGAACUGCCCAGCUGCCUGAUAAAGGAAUCUGAGGUGAGUGCUCUGGUAGAAGGAUGAGAUGAAGCAGUAUCAACUACUAUGCUUCUGCUCUUGCGUUGUGGAAGGUUUUUAUAGAGGCUGUCUACCUCUGAGAGUUCUUAUGUUUUUGUCCCUCAGCCUGGUAUGUGUUUUUGAUAAACAGGGUGAUGAGGUUACGUUCUAGAUUCUGCUGUGGGGAAAAGCUAUUUGAUCUUGCAGGAGGGGUGUAGCUUCUACAGGCUUCAUUUAAGCUGGCACUACAGCUGAGUGUCUCAUACUUUCAGUGCAGGGGAGGGAGGCUGAGGGGUUCAUUAAUAUUUGUGAAACGCAUUGAAAAUUUUCAGGUGAAUGGGGACCCUUUAUUGCAAUGCAAGGUAUUGUUUUUUUCGUGUGAGCGGUGAUUAACUGGUAGUACUAAAUACUGAAACCCACCAGUUCCCAUAUGUGCAAGCGUGUGUGUGUAGCAGGGCCAGGCAAAUGACUAAUGCAAACCUGAAGAGAGACAGCAGAGCAUAUUGUAAAGAUCAACCCUAUUUCAGCUUAUGUUCAAAUCGGAAAUGCCAGAGAUUGUUUCAUAGUCUUCU
rnacentral:lncRNA from 1 species